UACAGAGGUGGCAAGCGUUGUUCGGAAUUACUGGGCGUAAAGGGCGCGUAGGCGGCCGCCUAAGUCAGACGUGAAAUCCCCAAGCUUAACUUGGGAACUGCGUCUGAUACUGGGUGGCUUGAGUUCGGGAGAGGAAUGCGGAAUUCCAGGUGUAGCGGUGAAAUGCGUAGAUAUCUGGAGGAACACCGGCGGCGAAGGCGGCAUUCUGGACUGUAACUGACACUGAUGAACGAAAGCCAGGGGAGCAAACGGG
rnacentral:rRNA from 1 species